rnacentral:misc_RNA from 1 species
GAGUAGCACUUUGCGGGCGGUAUGGUUCAAUUCAAUAAUUAAAAAUUCUUCUGUGCAUACUGCAUACUAUCAGGACUAAAUAAAUGAAUGUCCUUCUACAAACAUGUUUGAUAAAUUUAGUGACGACUUGGAUAUAGACAGUGCAAGUCUUGCACAAUCUAGAGUCUAGAUAUGAUAAUCUCUUGUUCAUGGUAUAAGUUUGAGGAAUGGCUCAUCCAUUGAGUUAAAACCUAAGAAAGCUUGCACUCCCUACUAAGUUAGCUAUUAAUGGAUGUUUGCCCUUUUGUAGAUCCAUCUUUUCUUAUAUAAACUUAUUUUGGAUUGCAAUUGGUGGGCAAUAUUGCGUCAAUCAAACAUCUCUAUGCUAGCUUCUUCUUCCAUUGCCUUCUUUUCCCCAUACACCUCAAACUUAUGUUUCCAGCUCAUCUAUACACGAGUUUGCCUUUUUUUUUAUUUAUUUAUUUUGUUUGGCUUGUUGAAGUAAAAUGGAGGCCCAAUUCUCUUUUUAUUUGAAACUGAAUGCUUAUAUCCUUAUCAAAUUGCUUGUCCGUUUAUCACCUGGCUAGCAGUUUUCUCAUUGCAUAAUUGACUUGUUACUGAUUGUCUCUGGCUAUCAACUAAUAAAUCUUACGGCAUCCCUGAAUUUGUUAAGGAGUCUUGAUUAGCUAAUCUAGACAUCUGACUCUAUGUAUUUGUUUGUGAAAAUAGAAUCGUUUCACUGCUGAGGCCAUUCUGUUGGUUUUUAAUAGUGUCAUUGUCACAGGGGACUUUAAACUUGGAUUAGAGUCAAUGCUUUCAGUCAGGGGAAAGAGCAUUCAAUCAUGGAUUGGGGAUGAUAAUUUUGUUGUAGAGGAAACAGCUGUGAGCCCUGAGGUACCAUUUCUCUCCUUGAAUUUGAAUGCUCUUGCGGAACAACUAGCGAAAGUAGACAUUUCAGAGAGGCUCUUCAUUGAAGCAGACCUAUUACCACUGCAGCUGACUGGUGAUGGAUCAAAGCCAUGCAGCAGCCUGGAGUCAGAUCAAAUGCAAACAAGUGAAACUGAAGCAACAGCAACAUUCUCUGAAGAACCGACGCUAAAAGAUUUUUCCAAGAUGAAUAAGGUUGCAAACGAGAAUAUUGAGGUUACAUCAUCAGGAUCCAUUGUCAAUGGCCAUUUGAACGUGAAUUCAUUUAACCAAGGAUUUGAUUUAUUAAAUCAGACUAGGACUGAUCGAAAUUCAAGUCAAGACAGCAAACACAGUCAAAGCAGAGCUUUGGAGUGCCCAACAGAAUUCAACAUGAGUUCGGUUUCAGAACCCAAGAAGAAACGAUCCACAUUCGAGGCAUCAACUGCCGAGGCAGAACUGGAUAUGCUUCUUGACUCAUUUAGUGAGACAAAGCUGCUUGAUUCUUCUGGAUUCAUGUCUGCUACUAUUCCUGAGAAACAAAAAGAGGCCCCUGCACCUCUGCCACAACUCGCAAGAAAUACUCCGAGUUCUGGAAAAUCAACGCCCAUUGCUGCAAAACUAGAUGUACUGGAUGACUUACUUGAGGAAACGUCCAUUUUGACAGACAAAAACGGUUCAUAUCAGCUGACUAAGGUAACAGCUGCCCACGAUGAAAUUCAAUCGUCUUCCUCUCAGCCUGCAACUAAGUCAAAAGUUUUGGAUGAUUUUGAUUCAUGGUUAGAUACAAUUUGAAUCUUUGUAAGCAAAAACACCCCACUUGCGCAUCCUUAUUUGUUGUGUUUGAUGCUCUAUACGAGGAAUUAAACCACUGAAUUAAAGCUUAUUGGUAUACUUUUUUUCCCCAUUAUGAGGAUGCAUAUCAUUUUUGUGGGUAAUCAAGGCUCAAAGCUCUUAAACUUUCCCAUCAUGAAAGCAACAAUAUGAGAAUUUGAAUCAAACAUUGCAGUUUUCCACUGCAACUUGCAGCUUCACCUUUUUAUUCAUCUGUCAAACAACUGGAAACCAGGAGGUGUAUUCUAAUUAAUCUUCAAUACAUGCAAAUUAAAUGGGAUUGGAUUUGAUUUGAUUUUUUUUUCUUUUUUA